AGGAAACGCUUCACGUCAGUUCAUCGUCCCACGUACUGCACGUAAAAUACAGAUUCUAAUAAAGAAGUGUGUUUUAAUUUCCCAAAGACAAGAGAUAUUUGUUGUGUGACUCAUUGAAAAUGGGCCCCAGCGCAAGAGUCACAGUGGGAAAGCCACAAUGACAAUUAAAUUAGACGCAUUUUAAUUAUUUCAAGACAAUCCUGGAAGACUAAAAUACAAGAAGUAGUAUUUAAUCAGUGAAGACAGUUAGUCAGCUAAUUCAUUGCGACUUAUUUUCAAAAUGCAGGCAGGAUUUCAUUUUAAAACUCAGGAUUUUAUGGGUUUUUAGAUGAGCUUCUUCGGAUGUCAGAACAGAAUAUAGUCACGUGUUUUAAAAAGCAAUGAAAUAUUCGACCCAUUACAUACAGAGGACAAAGCAAAUGUUUUGUUGUAGUUUCUGCAACAAGGAGUAAUCAGCCUUUGUUUACUGUGCUGCUCCUGUAACAAUACAUAAGUCGUAUCAUCCACAGAGUGAAAUAAGCUAAGUCACGCGCAUGCUGCACCGAAGCCAUCAGUCAUGUCAAAGGGAGGAACAUGAAUACGGCAACAUCGAGGCAGUUCAGUGCUGCUCGUCUCCAGGGUUGUUCCAGCUAACAAGGCUCCAGUUGCAUGAAAUCUUUCUCACUUGAAAGUUUGAAAUGCAGCUCCAAACACAGAAAUGUGUAUUUUCAGCACAUAAAUCAUUUUUGAAAGACUUCAGUUCACAUUCUAUCAAAUAAAUAGGAAUUAUCUGCUGCACUGUCAGAGGUCCAGACUUCUUGUUUGCACUGGUGUGGCUAAACUUUUCAAUUAGCAAGGGACUGCCACCGCAGUUUUCAUAGCACCUAUACCGUCACAGCAUUGCAUUUUUAACGGUGAUAUUGUUAUCAAAUUUAAGCCAUAAAAUGUCUUCUGUAUUGAAUUGUUUAUAUUUUUUAACAAUGUUUAUCCAGAGCUGUUUUAGACCCCUUGUCUAAAACAUGUAGACAAGAGGUCACAUGUAUGGAAGAGGUUCAAUAAACAACUUAAGAGUUAGAAAAACUUUAAAAAACUUCUAUAUUUGCUAAAUUUAUACCUUUUUAAGCUACUGGCUGCAAUUUUACUGUGAAACCACAGAUCUGUGUAAAAGGAAAUAAUUGCACUGAAAUCACCAAGAGUCCAGUGACUCUUAAAUAAAACCUUUGGAACUAGUUUUUCUUACGCAAAGCACAAAGAGACUAGACAUCAUUAGGGAGAAGGAAACAUCUGUAUUUUUAUGAUUUGACACUGAAUAUUUCCAACAUUUCAACAAGCGCCUGACGAUUCCAACAAGGUCGCAUCAUGAUUUCGGUGUCAGCCAAUCAGCUCUCAUUUACCCGACGGCUGUCGUUCGUCAGAUUUUCAACAAGAAGCUUCAGGUCAAACGCUACCUGGAUAAGAAACAACUAUUUGAAGUGUACCGCGUACAGAUUAAGCAGAUAUAGCAUAAAGCAGAUUUCUCUUUAAACAGCAGCUCAGUGCUCCUGUGUAAGCCUCUGCUGAAUGUUGCUGUCAUUCCUGCGGCGUCCCUUAGCGUUCCCCCCGUCUUGUUUUUAUUUGACCACCCCUGAACUGGAAAGGAGCCACAUUGUCUCAGAGUCCCCACACAAACGAAAAUCCUCAGAAAACUGCAGCUCAGGCGCAAACACACACACACGCCCACACACCACAUUUGUCCCAAUUUCAAAGGCAUCAGUCAAACUGAACAAAAAAGUUUUUCCACCUCAAAGAUGGGAACCGUCAAUCAGUCGUGUUCUGGCCUCGGUCCAAGCCAGAAGAACAACCGUGUUCUGCGCUGGCAAGAGUUCAAAACAGAAACGAGCAACUGCAAAGUCAACACACCACCACCUAACACGCCCAAACUCGGGUCUGUAAUUCACGUUGGCAACAAGAAACCCGUCAGUGCCUGAAAGGGCGCUAGAGAAACCAAAAGAGUAAUUAAAGAACAGCAAUAAAAAUAAAAACAGCCGUGCCUUUUAAAACAGUUAAUCUUUGGUAAUUACUUCAAGGGCACAGAAUAAAACUGGGCACUAGAGUAAGAUUACAAAACUUCAAAGAUUCAGGAAAUUAUAUUGUGUGUGUUUUCUGAAAACAUUGGGAAUUGUUUCAAUUGUUUGAUUUAAUUUUGCUUUUCGUUCACAGUGCUACAGUCACAAGAACCAUUUCUACAUCAGAACGUUUCCUGACACUCUGCAGAUUAUGCUCAUAAACAAUGGAGGUUUCUGGACCAUCACCUUUAGCUUUACUGAAAGAGCAGAUCUUACUGAUGCAGUACACCAUCAGUCAUGACAUCCACCAAAAUAUAUGUCUAAUAAAUCUUUUAUUCAUACAUCGAGUGUAUUGGAAAGGAAUAAUGCACAAAAAUUUUUAAUUAAUAUUUUCUCUAGUUACAACAACUCUGUGCUGAUCCCAAUGCAUUUCAGAUAUUGCAAAAUUGCAUUAAACUCUUUAUUGUUGUUAAAAGUUCACACAUAAAAUAUAUUGGCACAUAGCCUGGCCAUUGACUUCCUGUAAAAUUCCUCUCAAUUAAAAUCCCACUUCACGGACAGUCUGGGUUUUCUCCCAUUUACUUGGAUUCCUCUGGUAGAAUUUCAAUCGGGCCAAUCAGAAGGAGACGUUGUGACCUUCGAUUUUCUGGACUGCUUUAGAAUUGCAGUCAGCCUGCGGUUUUCCAAAUACUGAAUUAACAUUAACAGUGGAGUUGUUCAGCUCGGUGCUUCUCUUUGCGCAGUGGAGGGUGGUUGUUUACAGGGCAGGCGAGUCACGGUACGCUUCAUGGCGUCGAACUGGUGCGUUGCACACGUCACAGACGAAUGUUCUCAAUAAAAUUUAAAAUGUCAGAGUCCAGCCCUACAGGAGGCAAUCAUUUCUCAAUAGCCACCUUCUGUACGAAGCAAAGCGGAGUACGGGGGGAUGGUUUUUAUUAGGCUACUCUGCACCUAGAGAAGGACAAAAAGUAUAUAAUCCCCACACCCAUUAAGAAACAGUAGUCAAACAAUUACACACACUCUGUUUGUGCAAGUGUGCAGGAUAAAUAAUAUGAGCCACUCCUUGCUCGUUUUAAUCCCCCUCCUAAUCUCCACUUAUGAUGUAAGAGUAAAUGUUUGACAGUGUGGCUAAUACAUUUUGCACUUGAACAACAGACUUAAAAAGUCACCACGUCCCUCCUUCUCACAACAGUCCAUGUGCAAUUUGGAGGUCAGUGCAGGAAGAAGCCAUAUUGCACAUGGAGUGUGGCUGGUCAUUAUGAGAAAAUAUUUGAAUAGCCCAUAUUUUUGUUGGAGGCAGUCGUGGUAUACGUUCGCCACUUUGGUUGUGUGGAGGUUUGAGGCGAAUUUGCGACAACGGUCAAAAUGCUAAAGUAUUUCUCGUUUUAACCUUCCAACUGAAACAGCAUUUUCAUAAACACAUUGACGGUUUGGAGGGCUAACUCAUGUUAGCAGCUAUUUUAUUUUUUCAAUCGUUCCUAAUUUAGGGGAAAAACAAUCAAAUUCAUUUCAGUUGCACGGUCAAAGAAAAGCGUCAGUCUGAAGAGCGUUUAUCGUGUCAGGUGAAGGAACCGGCACGGGCAAAUGACUGAGCGUAGAUAAAGUUGUGAUCACUUGUUCGUGUGAAAAUAGACACAGUGGGUUAGUAUAUCAGAACUGAGCUGGAUUUAAAUGUAAUGAUAUACAGAGGACCUUGUGGAAACAUGACGGGUUACUUCCUGGUAGGCCGAAAUGAUGAGCACCAGCCUUCUCUUGACAAACCUCUGAGAAACAGGAAGGAGGCGACCACAUAUCGCUCUAAACCACUUCUCAACAUAAACAGUGUGAAAAAGUUGUAGGAUGUCAGAAACCCUUUCAGUAAAGUCUUAGUCAAAGAAGCCUGCGUCUGUUUUCAGUCAAAAAGCACCAGAGAACAACUUACAUAAUGUAUUUGCCUAGAUCAUCUGGGAAGUUUACAUAGUCGGAUGUUUGCAUAGCAGUGUGCAUGUCUAUUAGGCUGUUUGGUUAUUUAAAGAGACACAGAACUUUUCUUUGGGUUUUUACAAGCCAGGGCUGAGAUGCAGGCACACAGCCGCACAUCCUAUUGUGAGUCCAAGUUUAACUCUUAAGUUGGUUUUGCAGGACUGACAGACUUGGUUUCAUUUCUCUCUAUAGGCUGCUGUUGCGGUGGCAUAAUUCCUCAUGAUCUGACUUAUCUUCCCACACAGGGAAAAACAAGAAGAUAGGGUAAAAGAAGGAAAGACUGUCAGUCACAGCUGGACUACCUGCUGUGCGACUCAGGAAAGAUGACAGCGCAGGCCUUUCCUUCCCAGGAGCUGAAGAGAAGGAGACAGGAGGAGAAAACAAUGAAGACAAAGUGCUCUGUGGUCUGGGACUUCCUCAGACUGUAUUUAAACCAACUACUGCUGCAAAACUCUACUGGCGUCCCAAAAUAGAUAAAACGUCCACCAUCCUGGAACCGUACUGGGAGAAACAGAAUAGAAGAACCAACCUAUAAAAGAAAGAGAAAAAUUGAAGCAGCUAAAAAAAAAAAAAAAAAGUAUGACAUUUUUCUUGUUUUGACAGCCUGCAUUGUAUCUCAUUGGGUUUUUAAGUAAUAAAACAACACAAAUCCAUGCAGAAUCACUAAAUGGAAUGAAAAUAAUGCAAAAAUUAAAAAGAAGUGUGGCAUUCGUUUUUAUGUUGCUCCCUUUAAUUUGAUUUCCCUAAAAAAAAAAAAGCAAAAGUCACAAAG